GACGAACGCUGGCGGCGUGCUUAACACAUGCAAGUCGAACGAGUGGCGAACGGGUGAGUAAUACGUCAGUAACCUGCCCUCUUUUUGGGAUAAGCCUUGGAAACGGGGUCUAAUACCGACUAAAUGGGGAUGGGCUCGCGGCCUAUCAGCUUGGUGGUGGGGUGGUGGCCUACCAAGGCGGUGACGGGUAGCCGGCCUGAGAGGGUGAGCGGGCAAAUUGGGACUGGGAGACGGCCCAGAGGGCUACGGGAGGGGGCAGUGGGGGAUAUUGCACAAUGGGCGAAAGCCUGAUGCAGCGGCGUCGCGUGGGGGAGUAAGGCUGUCGGGGUGUAAACCGCUUGCGCUAGCGAACGGGUAGGUGGAGAAGAAGCGCCGGCUAACUACGUGCCAGCAGCCGCGGUAAUAC
rnacentral:rRNA from 1 species